rnacentral:tRNA from 1 species
GCUACUUUAGGUUAUGAUGUAAACUCUAAACCUUCAAAGUUUAAAAAGUCUAGGGGACAAGUGGUG